rnacentral:rRNA from 1 species
CCUACGGGCGGCUGCAGUGGGGAAUAUUGGACAAUGGGCGAAAGCCUGAUCCAGCCAUGCCGCGUGUGUGAAGAAGGCCUUCGGGUUGUAAAGCACUUUCAGUGGGGAAGAAAGCCUUGGGGCUAAUACCCUCGAGGAAGGACAUCACCCACAGAAGAAGCACCGGCUAACUCCGUGCCAGCAGCCGCGGUAAUACGGAGGGUGCGAGCGUUAAUCGGAAUUACUGGGCGUAAAGCGCGCGUAGGCGGUCUGAUAAGCCGGUUGUGAAAGCCCCGGGCUCAACCUGGGAACGGCAUCCGGAACUGUCAGGAUAGAGUGCAGGAGAGGAAGGUAGAAUUCCCGGUGUAGCGGUGAAAUGCGUAGAGAUCGGGAGGAAUACCAGUGGCGAAGGCGGCCUUCUGGACUGACACUGACGCUGAGGUGCGAAAGCGUGGGUAGCAAACAGGAUUAGAUACCCUAGUAGUC